rnacentral:rRNA from 1 species
GACCUGCGGAAGGAUCAUUGUU